rnacentral:rRNA from 1 species
AUGGUAGGAUAGAGGCCUACCAUGGUGGUAACGGGUAACGGGGUGUUAGGGCACGACACCGGAGAGGGAGCCUGAGAAACGGCUACCACAUCCNAGGAAGGCAGCAGGCGCGCAAAUUACCCAAUCCCGACACGGGGAGGUAGUGACAAUAAAUAACAAUACAGGGUUCUUUGAAUCUUGUAAUUGGAAUGAGUACAAUUUAAAUCUCUUAACGAGGAACAAUUGGAGGGCAAGUCUGGUGCCAGCAGCCGCGGUAAUUCCAGCUCCAAUAGCGUAUAUAAAAGUUGUUGCAGUUAAAAAGCUCGUAGUUGAAUUUCGGGAUCAAUACGUCGGUCGUGCUUUCGGGUACGUACUGGCGUCAUUGGUUUCUCCUUUCUGACGAACCAUGAUGUCAUUAAUUUGGUGUUAUGGGGAGUUAGGACUGUUACUUUGAAAAAAUUAGAGUGUUUAAAGCAGGCAUUAGCUUGAAUACAUUAGCAUGGAAUAAUGAAAUAGGACGUUCGAUCCUAUNUUGUUGGUUUCUAGGAUCAACGUAAUGAUUAAUAGGGAUAGUUGGGGGCAUUAGUAUUCAAUUGUCAGAGGUGAAAUUCUUGGAUUUAUUGAAGACUAACUACUGCGAAAGCAUUUGCCAAGGAUGUUUUCAUUAAUCAAGAACGAAAGUUAGGGGAUCGAAGACGAUCAGAUACCGUCGUAGUCUUAACCAUAAACUAUGCCGACAAGGGAUCGGAUGAUGUUAAUUUUUUAAUGACUCANUCGGCGCCUUACGGGAAACCAAAGUGUUUGGG